CAGCCGCCGCGGUAAUACGUAGGUGGCAAGCGUUGUCCGGAAUUAUUGGGCGUAAAGGGCUCGCAGGCGGAUUCUUAAGUCUGAUGUGGAAGCCCCCGGCUCAACCGGGGAGGGUCAUUGGAAACUGGGAAACUUGAGUGCAGAAGAGGAGAGUGGAAUUCCACGUGUAGUGGUGAAAUGCGUAGAGAUGUGGAGGAACACCAGUGGCGAAGGCGACUCUCUGGUCUGUAACUGACGCUGAGGAGCGAAAGCGUGGGGAGCGAGCAGGAUUAGAUACCCCGGUAGUCCCUGUCUCUUAUAC
rnacentral:rRNA from 1 species